AUUCAGUAGACUCCUACAUUCGAAUUGCAUGGGCUAAAUUCUUUGCUGCAAUAGCUCCACUCAAGCUCAGAAAAAAAUAAGGGGCCUAGGGGGAACGUAGGUAGUAACUCAACAGAAUGUUCAAGUCAUCAGACUGGAUUUAAUAUUAGGAUAGAAAUCCAUCAACUGAACUGUGAGGGCAGAACAUUUUCUCUCUUAGGUAUACAGCAGUCAAGUGCAACCCCUGGCAAGGACACUGUAAUAGGAACUAUCCAGGGGUUAUUCAGUGAUAAGCCUGGAAGGCUAUUAAAAGCUUGUUCCAGAAGACACCAUCACCAUUCAAACCUGUGCUCACCCUCAAAAUAAGAACAAUGGGGCAUUAUACCAUCAUUCACAAGUUCUGACUCACCCUCUCAAUAUGCAUGGGGGCAUAUUAGGGGCAUAGGUUUUCAACUUGGAUUUUUAAUUAUGUUUGUCUUCAGAAUGACAAGUUGGAGCAGAGGUCAGAGAUCUCUUCUCAGCCUGCCACUGGAGGAACAACUGACUAAUUUUCAUUCGUAAAUACUAAGCAUAUUUAAACCUUUGUUGACUUCCAAAAUGGACUAAGGGCAUUCGCCUCUGCUUUUAGCUAGCACUCAGCACCUUGAAGAACUGUGUUCUCUACUGAAACAAUUGGCAGUCUUCCUUCCUCUGUUUACACCAAGUCCAUGAAAGAAGCAAGUGCAUAAAGAGAUAUGUGAGUUUCGCUUCAGAGAUUUGACCAGCAUGUCCCGGUUCAGCCAUGCCAGUCUUCCUUUCCUGACUUGCUACACCUGGCGAUAGAAAGCUCUUACAUGCUGAGGAAAGCUUCCGUAGAGAUCUACUAGCUCUGCUCUGCACCCUUACCCAUGAAGACAAUUUCCCAGGGUGUUUUAUUGACUAAUUCCCUGAAGAGCUGGAAGUCAGCUUUCCUACAAUUCAGUGCCCUAAUUUUACUCUUUGGCUGUCUCAUAUCCCUCUGGAGCAUGAACUCAACCAUGGCAUGGUCACUACAGCCCGGGCAGCCUCCAGUUCUGAUAUCACUGAUCAAUUCAUUUGCAUUGGUGAGAAACAGGUCCAGUACUGCAUCCCCCCUGAUGGGGCCAUCUAUUAUCUGACUCAGGAAGUUGUCCUCAGUGUACCCCAGGAACCUCUUGGAUUGCCUGCAGCUCACCAUGCUACUUUUCCAGCAGAUGUUUGGGUACUUGAAGUCCCCGAGAAGGACAAGACUUUGUGACUGCAACACCUCCUGUAGCUGGAGGUAGAAGGCCUCAUCAACAGGCUCUGUUUGAUCGGAUGGCCGAAGUAGGCACCGAUCACAAGGCUCCCUUUGCUGCCUUGGUCUCUAACUGUCACUCAUGGGCUUUUGACUUGUUCAUGACUAUUCUUUAGGGACAGCUCUUUAUAUUCUAUUCCCUUCUUGGUGUAAAUACCAACACCCCCUUCCUCACCUGUCCCUUCUGAAGAGCUUGUAGUCAUUGAUAGCCACACUCCAGCCACACUCCACAAUCUAGCUUGAGUAAUUGAUGUGGUGAGGAAAUGCAGUAAAAUUCGGUCACACUUAGUUUAAACAGUAAUGAGAAUCUUUACACGGGAAGUAAAGGAAGGUUAUGACAUUGCGUCUAGAUCAGAUGCCUUUCUUUGUUGUAACUCAUUAUAACAUACUGAAUUUUCAGGUAUUUUUUUGGAUGAAAUUAACCCAAGUUAGUCUAAUUUCUUAUUUCAAGAGUUAACUAGUUAAACAACAUAGUCAAUGCAAUGGAAAUUUAGCAACAUGCCAAGAAAAAAUGUUUGUUUACAUAAUAAAAAGCUAGAAGAUUCUGGUUUCAUCUUUUUUUUUUUUUUUUCCUCCUGUCAUGGUACAAAUUAAUAGUUUUAACUUUCAGAUAAUCCUCAGAAUUACUAAAAUAAGAUUUUGUUAAAUUUACAGCUUCUUUCAUUUUUGAGCAAUGAUGCAGAAAUAAAAACAUUUAGUGCGUCCCCUCCAAAUUACUUAUUUACAAAAGAAUAAGAAAAUAUAUAUAUAUUCUAUUUUAUCCUUACAUUGUUUUCAGUUGCUAUUGGACUUUAAAAGCUCCUUCUUGCUCUCCUUUUUUAAAGACUUUGCACCUGUAGUAGAAAGCUAAAAGAAAAUUAAACUCAAAUGCUGUUUCAUGUAUUUGAGAUUGACUGCAUUUUUAAAAACAUCUUGAUUUAAAGAUCUGAAAUAAACUUUAAAAAGAAUGCUGUUUCCCUCCAGCUCAGUUCAGUUUGAAUCUCAGUCACCAUUUUCCUUUGAUAGUCUCUGUAAGUUGCAGGCACAGCCUCAAGCAAAGACAAUUUGGAAAAACGCUGUAAGGAUGCAUCUGUCAUGCCAAUAAGCAAGGGGUAAAUUUAAUCUCAUGGACUUGCUGUGUAAGAAACAUAAUCAUCUACAAAAAUUAAAAUACACAAUAUUUUAAUAAAUUAUAUUGCAUUAGAUAUAGUUUCAAGAUAUUAAAAGCUAAAUAAUAUCACUAUAUUCAAUGUCACAUUGGAAAAUAAAUGUUAUUUAGUAUUUUUAAACGUGUAACACGAAUUUAUACAGCUAUUUUAUCAUGAUGCUACUUUCCAAAGCACCUCAGGGUUCUUUUCCCACUGCAGAAAACUACAGUGGUUUUCUAUUCAAACUUUGAUCCAGUCCAACCUUCUUCAAUUCAUAAGAUCUUAACAGCUGAAGUUAGUUGCCUCUCUCAGAGAAGAAUGAGCAAAUAUUUGAAAACAAACGAUGAUCCUAUAUUAAUAUAUUGCUAUGACUGAACACCUUCAAACCAUAAUAAUACAGAAAUACUUUACAUUUUAAGUCCCAAGGGCAAAAUUAACUUGAAUUUAUUAUAUGUACAGAGGAGUGUAUUCCUCUGAAUGUAUUUCCUGCUUAAAACCAUAAGAGGAAAGAAAAGUUUACUUCAUGGGUUUUGUUGUUGUUGUUGUUGUUUGUUUGUUUGUUCGUUCGUUUUUGUUUGUUUGUUUGUUUGUUUUGUUUUUUCCUGUUGUGAGCAGGAGGCCCUUCUAUGCAGAUAAAAAAAACAUUUCUGAUCACGGAACAUAAUGUUUUAAAAAUCUGAUUCAGGUUUUACUGAUGCGUUGUAGGACUUGCCCAGGCAAAUAAAAAAAUACUGCUGGUACUGACAGCUCUUCAGAAAUUCUCAAAGGCAUCUGUUCAUCAAUGGAGUCUGUAUGUCUUCCUGAACAGAAAUCUCAAGAGAUGUCAAAAGGCAGAUAAUACCUUGAGCCUUAGAAAAUUUUACCAUUUGGUUUUAAUUUAAAGUCAGUUUCUUCCCUUCUUCUCUCCCUUCAUUUUUUUCCUCUCCUUUCUUUUUCUCCCCCUGUCAAAGGACUCAGAUACUGAUAAUUUGCUACUAAAGGUGGUGUCCCCUGCAAGCAGCACAGUGAAGCCUCUGACCUUAGGACCCAAAGGAGCAGAAGAAGAGUCUACAUAACUGCAAUAAGUGGGGUAGAAAUGAAGAAAUGCAUGUGUACAACUAAAUUAAACCAUAUUAUUUAUUUUCCUAUAAAAACACGCUUGGACUAAUAAUGACUAGAAAAUAUAUCAGUUAUAUUAACAAUAAAUUAUUGAGUUUUAUUAUAUGUAUCUAGGGUGUGCUAUCUCCUCCCAUAAGCAAGAUUUUGGUAGUGAUAUG
ensembl:lncRNA